AACGAACGCUGGCGGCAUGCCUAACACAUGCAAGUCGAACGAGACCUUCGGGUCUAGUGGCGCACGGGUGCGUAACGCGUGGGAACCUGCCCUUAGGUUCGGAAUAACUCCCCGAAAGGGGUGCUAAUACCGGAUAAUGUCUUCGGACCAAAGAUUUAUCGCCUCUGGAUGGGCCCGCGUUGGAUUAGCUAGUUGGUAGGGUAAAAGCCUACCAAGGCGACGAUCCAUAGCUGGUCUGAGAGGAUGAUCAGCCACACUGAGACUGAGACACGGCCCAGACUCCUACGGGAGGCAGCAGUGGGGAAUAUUGGACAAUGGGCGAAAGCCUGAUCCAGCAAUGCCGCGUGAGUGAUGAAGGCCUUAGGGUUGUAAAGCUCUUUUACCCGGGAUGAUAAUGACAGUACCGGGAGAAUAAGCUCCGGCUAACUCCGUG
rnacentral:rRNA from 1 species